CUACGGGUCGCUGCAGUAAGGAAUAUUGGUCAAUGGACGCAAGUCUGAACCAGCCAUGCCGCGUGAAGGAUUAAGGUCCUCUGGAUUGUAAACUUCUUUUAUUUGGGACGAAAAAGGGUCUUUCUAGACCAACUGACGGUACCAGAUGAAUAAGCACCGGCUAACUCCGUGCCAGCAGCCGCGGUAAUACGGAGGGUGCAAGCGUUAUCCGGAUUCACUGGGUUUAAAGGGUGCGUAGGCGGGUAGGUAAGUCAGUGGUGAAAUCCUAGAGCUUAACUCUAGAACUGCCAUUGAUACUAUCUAUCUUGAAUAUUGUGGAGGUAAGCGGAAUAUGUCAUGUAGCGGUGAAAUGCUUAGAUAUGACAUAGAACACCUAUUGCGAAGGCAGCUUACUACGCAUAUAUUGACGCUGAGGCACGAAAGCGUGGGGAUCAAACAGGAUUAGAUACCCUAGUAGUC
rnacentral:rRNA from 1 species